UACGAAGGGGGCUAGCGUUGCUCGGAAUCACUGGGCGUAAAGGGUGCGUAGGCGGGUCUUUAAGUCAGGGGUGAAAUCCUGGAGCUCAACUCCAGAACUGCCUUUGAUACUGAAGAUCUUGAGUCCGGGAGAGGUGAGUGGAAUUCCCAGUGUAGCGGUGAAAUGCGUAGAUAUUGGGAGGAACACCAGUGGCGAAGGCGGCUCACUGGACUGGUACUGACGCUGAUGCGCGAAAGCGUGGGGAGCAAACAGG
rnacentral:rRNA from 1 species